rfam:Triticum aestivum genome assembly, contig: Triticum_aestivum_CS42_TGACv1_scaffold_001135_1AL
AAGCCUAUGAUGAUUAGCUUUAUGUUGGAAUUACCGUCUGAUUCUGAAUGACGAUAUUUUUGCGGCUUUCUGAGGCAUAAA